GACAGAGGUGCCGAGCGUUAGGCGGAAUCACUGGGCUUAAAGCGUGUGUAGGCGGGCCCGUAAGUGUCUUGUGAAAUCCCACGGCUCAACCGUGGAACUGCUGGGCAUACUGCGGGUCUUGGGCCAACUAGGGGCAGCCGGAACAAGCGGUGGAGCGGUGAAAUGCGUAGAUAUCGCUUGGAACGCCGAAGGUGAAAACAGGCUGCUGGGGUUGCGCCGACGCUGAGACACGAAAGCCAGGGGAGCAAACGGG
rnacentral:rRNA from 1 species